rnacentral:rRNA from 1 species
UACGGGAGGCAGCAGGGGGGAAUAUUGCACAAUGGGCGAAAGCCUGAUGCAGCUAUGCCGCGUGUAUGAAGAAGGCCUUAGGGUUGUAAAGUACUUUCAUCGGGGAGGAAAAAACAAAACUAAUAAUUUUAUUUCUUGACGUUACCCGAAAAAGAAGCACCGGCUAACUCCGUGCCAGCAGCCGCGGUAAUACGGAGGGUGCUAGCGUUAAUCAGAAUUACUGGGCGUAAAGAGCACGUAGGUGGUUUUUUUAAAGUCAGAUGUGAAAUCCCUGGGCUUAACCUGGAACUGCAUUUUGAAACUGAAAUACUAGAGUAUCGUAGAGGGAGGUAGAAUUCUAGGUGUAGCGGUGAAAUGCGUAGAUAUCUGGAGGAAUACCUGUGGCGAAAGCGGCCUCCUAAACGAAUACUGACACUGAGGGUGCGAAAGCGUGGGGAGCAAACG